UCCCUCUUAGCUCAGUUGGUAGAGCGCGUCACUAGUAUGGGUGUCCGAAAUCGAAGUCAAUGACGAGGUCAGUCGUUCAAAUCGGCUAGCGGGAA